rnacentral:lncRNA from 1 species
CCCCGCCCCCGCCGCGCCUCGGCGGGCUGGGAGGGGGCGACGGGCGGGAGGAGGGGAGAGAGGGGAGGAGCGAGGGAGGAGGGAGGGGGAGGGGGGAGAGGGGGGAGGCGGGCAGCCCCGCCCCCGCCGCCGCCGCCGCCCCGCAGGAAGUGCGCCCUUAACCCUCGGCCGCUGUCCUCCCCAGGUCCAGCCUCGCCUCCGAGAGGCUGGCCGUGUGGAGGCUGCGCGCUGUCCCCAGAGCAAAUAUUUAACGGAAACCAGGGGUGGAAAAAGACGUUGGAGGAGCCUGUUCCAUUCCACCCGCGGUUACCAAUGCGCCCACGGGCGGCCACGCCUGAGGCUGGGGGCUUUGGGGCACGCACUGUGUCCAGUUCCACCUGACGAACCUUGAAGUUGGAAUUCACUGUGGUCUCUAGAAACAAGUGAUACUUCAGCAAGAGCAGAAUGCAGAGAAUUGAAGCUGAUCCAAAAUGUCACUCGGAGACUCACUGACCUUCAACGACCUUCCCUUAUUUCUGCUGUAAUUCGUUGGGCUUAGUCCUCAAGUUACCAUCCUUUCUCUCCACGCCCCCCCACCGCGCCAUGGGUCUGCCUUGGUUGGGGAGAAUGCGAUUCAGAGGGUAGCGGGAACAAUUCUAAAUGCUGCAUCUACCUCACAGGAAUGCCGAUGUCUGGUCCUCUUGGAGUUGGGUAAAAUGAAUACUUUUAUAUUCAAGGGCUGUUUACAACCACUACAGACCCUAUUAUCUGUUCUUCUGAUUAGCAUUAAAAUAAAUAGCAUGAAUAUAACUAGAAAUUAGUGUUCCAUAGAUGUAUAACAUGGAUAUUUUUAUUGAAUGGUGUUAUUUAUUUUAACAGCCAGGCUGCUGUAACAUAAUGGAGAUCUUAUUUUAUUAAGACCCUGCUCAGUUUUCUCCUCGGGACACCAGGGAAGAGUGAAAAGAGAGCCACAUGUGAAUUCCUGCCUAGUCACUAUGAGUGGAUGACCAUGAGUGACUUAUCUAACCUUAAUAAACCUUUUUCCUCACCUAAAAGGAGGACAGGGAGCAGGUAAUACUUACCUUCCGUGGUGGUUGUGAGAAUAAAAUAGCAUUCUCUAUGUAACAGUCCCAG